rnacentral:rRNA from 1 species
UACAGAGGGGGCAAGCGUUGUUCGGAAUUACUGGGCGUAACGGGCGCGUAGGCGGCCUGUUAAGUCGAACGUGAAAUCCCUAGGCUCAACCUAGGAACUGCGUCCGAUACUGGCAGGCUUGAAUCCGGGAGAGGGAUGCGGAAUUCCAGGUGUAGCGGUGAAAUGCGUAGAUAUCUGGAGGAACACCGGUGGCGAAGGCGGCAUCCUGGACCGGCAUUGACGCUGAGGCGCGAAAGCCAGGGGAGCAAACGGG